rnacentral:rRNA from 1 species
UUUUUAUAUAAUUAUAGGUUAAAUUUUAAUUAUUUAAAAUGUAUAGUUAUAAUUUUAAAUUUUGUUAAUCGAAUUAGAUUAGUACCUAAUUAGUCAAAAGUUAAAAAAGCAGAAGUAAAGUAAAAUUUAAACUGAAAGAAUAUUGGCAGAUUUUCUAAAUUAUCUUUGGAGGUUGAGUAAUAAUUGAGAACCCUCAUUAACUACUUUUUUAGUUGUCUCAUGUAUGAUCGUUUAUUAUAUGCUUAAGGGAUAUAAUUAAAAAUUUUUAUUUAAAAAAAUAGAUAUAUAUUUGGUUUAUAUAAAAGUAAUAUUUGACCUACAGUAAUUUGUAAUUGUGGAUCUAUUUUUUAGUAAAGUAGUGAAAAUGUAAAAGACAGUAAAAAAAUUUUUAUGAUUUUUUGAAGAUUAU